UCAAUUUCCAGGACUGUCUCCAAAAGGGGUAGGGGGCAGGGGCAGGGGAUUUGAAUAGGAUAGGCAGUGGGCUGGAAAUGCCAUAGGUUCUAGAAGAGUGUCCCGUAUGUCACACAAAGACAAAGCUGAAGCUGGGCACGAAAUCAACGCAGUGGAUGGUGUCCGAUGCUUUGCCAGGGAGUGGUGCCACCCAGAGAGAACAGAGAGCAGGUUGGAUGCUCAAAUAUUCAGAGACUGUGGAGUUGAACCAGUAAAGGGGCCAGAAAAGGCCACAUGGCCAAUGGGGUGGAUAAGAACUAAGAAAAACCAAUGCCUCAGAAACAGGGGCGAAUAUUUCCAAGUGCAGACGGCCCGCUGUGCUGUGGAAUAACCCUUCUGUGCACUGUGAAGGUGUGUCACUCUCAUUGUUAAUAAAGAAUUGAUUGGCUGGCCAAUGGCUAGGCAGAGAGCAUGCUGGGGAAAAGAAGGGUGGAGUCUCAGGAGUCAGGGGAAGACGCUAUGAGAGGCAGAGCAAACAGGAUGGGAAGGAUGUAGAUGAGGUAAAUGAGCCUCGGGGCAGCAAAUAGAUGAAGAGAAAUGGGUUAAUUUAACUCAUAAGAGCUAGCUUAAAGGCUGGAGAGGUGGCGCAGCGGUUAAGAGCACUGGCUGCUCUUCCUGUGGUCCUGAGUUCACUUUCCAGGAACUACGUGGUGGCUCUCACACCAUCUGUAAUGAGAUCUGGCGCCCUCUUCUGGUCAGAGUACUGUAUGCAUAAUAAAUAAGUAAAUCCUUUUUUUUUAAGAGCUAGCUUAAGAUAAGCCUAAGCUAUCAGCCGAGCAUUUAUAACUAAUAUUAAGUCCCUGUGUGGUUAUUUGGGAGCCCUGGUGGGACAGAGCUGAUUGAUGGUCCUGAUGGAAAACUCCGCCUACACAGCUGCUGUGGUGAACGUCCUUUUCUCUAGAGACUCAACUACUAGUUCUGCUACCCCUUGGCUACUGUUGCCCAGCCAGUGAGCCCUGAACAGCCUGUGCCCUGUUAACCUCAGCUCUGUUGUUCCUAGCAGGUGGGUGUGUACCAUGCGGCUCAUUCUGCAGCUAUCCUUCCUUAUAUCAUCUUGCAUGAGAAUGUUCACAUGUAUUCUUGGUAUAUGUGGAGUUCCGGCACUACCACCACCUCUUAGGAUGUAGAAGCUUCACAGGAAGGAACAGGAAGACUGGAGACAGAAGUGGGUCUGAUCCAUGCUCCAAGCCUUGGCUUCAGACUUGUGGAAAACACUUCUACAGGAUGCUCAGGCAAACCAGCACCGACACACCCAUUGCUCUAGCAAUGUCACUUUUCAGUGUGAUGCAAAGGCCAGAAGGGGGCAUCAGAUCCCGUGGAGCUGGAGGGUGCUGGGAUUGUCUCCAGUCCCCACAAAUGGUUUUCUUUGCUUCCCAGCAGGGGGUCAGCCUGAAGUCCUUCAGCAUCUUCUCUACUGGGAUCCUGGCUAACCCCAUCCCCAACACCCCCUGUGACAGAGUCUCAGGUAGCCAUGGCUAGCUCACAUAUACCUGAAACCGAAGAAGGCCUAACUCUGGACUCCUGCCUUCAGUUCCUAAGUACUGGGGACUAUAGGCAUGUAUCACCAUGACCAGUGGGAAGCCACUAAUCUGCCCAUCCUCCCAGUGAACAGAAAAAGUUCAGCCUUGAGGAUUCCUUCUGAGAUCAGAGCAGAC